rnacentral:rRNA from 1 species
AGAGUUUGAUCCUGGCUCAGGACUAACGCUGGCGGCAUGCAUCAUACAUGCAAGUCGAACGGGAAGAUUGGGCAACUGAUCUUUUAGUGGCGCACGGGUGAGUAACACGUAGGUAACCUGCCCCCGAGACCGGGAUAACAGCUCGAAAGGGUUGCUAAGACUGGAUAAGCUCACGGGACGGAAGUUCCGGGAGAAAAACAUGGCCUCUGUUUACAAGCUAUGGCUCGAGGAUGGGCCUGCGGACUAUCAGCUAGUUGGUGGGGUAACGGCCUACCAAGGCGAUGACGGUUAGCCGGCUUGAGAGAGUGUACGGCCACACUGGAACUGAGACACGGUCCAGACUCCUACGGGAGGCAGCAGUAGGGAAUUUUCGGCAAUGGGCGAAAGCCUGACCGAGCAAUGCCGCGUGAGGGAAGAAGGCCUUCGGGUCGUAAACCUCUUUCGUUUGGGAAGAGAGCGUUCAGCAAGAAACGGCUGGACGUUGACGGUACCCGAGGAAGAAGCCCCGGCUAAUUACGUGCCAGCAGCCGCGGUAAUACGUAAGGGGCAAGCGUUGUCCGGAAUCACUGGGCGUAAAGGGCGCGUAGGCGGCUCGUUAAGUCGGGAGUGAAAGCGCUGGGCUCAACCCAGCAAUGGCUUUCGAAACUGGCGGGCUAGAGGGUCCUAGGGGAUUGUGGAAUUCCAGGUGUAGCGGUGAAAUGCGUAGAUAUCUGGGAGAACACCCGUGGCGAAGGCGGCAAUCUGGGGGAUACCUGACGCUGAGGCGCGAAAGCUAGGGGAGCGAACGGGAUUAGAUACCCUGGUAGUCC